rnacentral:rRNA from 1 species
AGCGAACGCUGGCGGCAUGCCUAACACAUGCAAGUCGAACGAACCUUUCGGGGUUAGUGUCGGACGGGUGAGUAACACGUGGGAACGUGCCCUUAGGUUCGGAAUAACUCAGGGAAACUUGUGCUAAUACCGAAUGUGCCCUUCGGGGGAAAGAUUUAUCGCCUUUAGAGGGGCCCGCGUCUGAUUAGCUAGUUGGUUGAGUUAAUGGCUCACCAAGGCGACGAUCAGUAGCUGGUCUGAGAGGAUGAUCAGCCACAUUGGGACUGAGACACGGCCCAGACUCCUACGGGAGGCAGCAGUGGGGAAUCGUGCACAAUGGGCGAAAGCCUGACGCAGCCAUGCCGCGUGAAUGAUGAAGGUCUUAGGGUUGUAAAGUUCUUUUACCGGGGACGAUAAUGACGGUACCCGGAGAAGAAGCCCCGGCUAACUUCGUG